UACGGAGGGUGCAAACGUUGCUCGGAAUUAUUGGGCGUAAAGCGCACGUAGGCGGCUCGCUAAGUUGGAUGUGAAAGCCCCGGGCUCAACCCGGGAAGUGCAUUCAAAACUGGCAAGCUUGAAUAUGGAAGAGGGUCGCGGAAUUCCCGGUGUAGAGGUGAAAUUCGUAGAUAUCGGGAGGAACACCAGUGGCGAAGGCGGCGACCUGGGCCAAUAUUGACGCUGAGGUGCGAAAGCGUGGGGAGCAAACAG
rnacentral:rRNA from 1 species